GACAGAGGGUGCAAACGUUUGUUCGGAAUUACUGGGCGUAAAGCGCGUGUAGGCUGCUCAGAAAGUCGGAUGUGAAAACUGGAGGCUCAACCUUCAGAGGUCGACCGAAACCAUCUGGCUAGAGUCCGGGAGAGGAGAGUGGAAUUCCUGGUGUAGCGGUGAAAUGCGCAGAUAUCAGGAAGAACACCCGUGGCGAAAGCGGCUCUCUGGAACGGUACUGACGCUGAGACGCGGAAGCUAGGGGAGCGAACUGG
rnacentral:rRNA from 1 species